rnacentral:rRNA from 1 species
GAUGAACGCUGGCGGCGUGCCUAAUACAUGCAAGUAGAACGCUGAAGGAGGAGCUUGCUCUUCUGGAUGAGUUGCGAACGGGUGAGUAACGCGUAGGUAACCUGCCUGUUAGCGGGGGAUAACUAUUGGAAACGAUAGCUAAUACCGCAUGACAACAGUUAUUGCAUGAUAACUGUUUAAAAGGGGCAACUGCUCCACUACCAGAUGGACCUGCGUUGUAUUAGCUAGUUGGUGAGGUAACGGCUCACCAAGGCGACGAUACAUAGCCGACCUGAGAGGGUGAUCAGCCACACUGGGACUGAGACACGGCCCAGACUCCUACGGGAAGCAGCAGUAGGGAAUCUUCGGCAAUGGACGGAAGUCUGACCGAGCAACGCCGCGUGAGUGAAGAAGGUUUUCGGAUCGUAAAGCUCUGUUGCAAGGGAAGAACGAGUGUGAGAGUGGAAAGUUCACACUGUGACGGUAUCUUAUCAGAAAGGGACGGCUAACUACGUG